AAAAUGCAGUCUGAGAAAAAUGAAAAUUUAGCGAAACUUCAAAACAACGGAUCUCUUGGUUCUGGCAACGAUGAAGAACGCAGCAAAAUGCGAUAAGUAAUGUGAACUGCAGAAUUCAGUGAAUCAUCGAAUCUUUGAACGCACAUUGCGCCCCCUGGUAUUCCGGGGGGCACACCUGUUCGAGCGCCAUUUCAACCCUCGAGCCCUGCUCGGUGAUGGGCGACGCCUGGAUUCACCAGGCGCGCCCGAAACUCGUCGGCGCCGUCGUCCGGCCCUGAGCGUAGCAAGAGAAAUCCCUCGCUCGGUGGACCGUCCGGCGGCCGCCCCGACCACUUUCACAAGGUUGGCCUCGGAUCAGGUGGGAAUACCCGCUGAACUUAAGCAUAUCAAUAAGCGGAGGAAAAGAAACCAACAGGGAUUGCCCCAGUAACG
rnacentral:rRNA from 1 species